rnacentral:rRNA from 1 species
AUUGAACGCUGGCGGAAUGCUUUACACAUGCAAGUCGAACGGCAGCACGGACUUCGGUCUGGUGGCGAGUGGCGAACGGGUGAGUAACAUAUCGGAACGUAUCCAAUAAUGGGGGAUAACGAGUCGAAAGAUUCGCUAAUACCGCAUACGCCCUACGGGGGAAAGCUGGGGACCUUUGGGCCUGGCGUUAAUGGAGCGGCCGAUAUCUGAUUAGCUAGGUGGGGAGGUAAAGGCUCACCAAGGCGACGAUCAGUAGCUGGUCUGAGAGAACGACCAGCCACACUCGAACUGCGCCGCUGUCCAGACUCCUACGGGAGGCAGCAGUGGGGAAUUGUGGACAAUGGGCGCAAGCCUGAUCCAGCCAUUCCGCGUGAGUGAAGAAGGCCUUCGGGUUGUAAAGCUCUUUCGCAAGGGAAGAAAACUUAGAUACUAAUAUUAUCUGAGGUUGACGGUACCUUGAUAAGAAGCACCGGCUAACUACGUGCCAGCCGCCGCCGUAACAC